rnacentral:lncRNA from 8 species
AAACGAUCUAUGAAUGCAGUGUCCAUUGCUUUUCAGGUUGCUUUGGUUUCUGUGUCCUUUCAAAGUAUGUUAAUAUGGUUUCCCCCUGUCUUCCUAUACACUAAAUAAACUGGUGAGCAAUAUUACUUUUCUCUAUACCAUACCAACCUGGCACUACAAGGUUUACUUCUACAACCUUGAAAGAUUCACUAAACACAAUUUUAAAUGAAAUUGAGAUAAAUUGAGAAAUGUCUUCAAAUUGAGCGUUGACUUCGUCCUCAUGUAGAAGCCCUCCUAUCGUUUGAGGAUAUGUUGAUCACUGGCAUCCCAUUUCAGACAGUGCAACAGCCAAUCACCUGUUGAGCACUGUCACAAAGUUUCACUUGCAAUGUUUUAAAUAAACUCAAACGUUUCCCAUUUGUUAGCUCCUAAAUACUUCCUAACACAAUGAAAGAUGUAGUCUCCUAUUCUUCAAGAGAUUGGCAGAUUUCCCUCCAGUACUGUACCACCUCUGAAAGAAUGGACCAUCGCCCCACUGCCCAGCAUGAAAGCUAUACCCUGUGUUUAUUUAUGAGUUCCAUUUCAUCUUGAAGCAGCCAUUCAGCCCUCUAGAGUACCUUUGUACAUAACUGGUUGCCACACAAUGGCUGCAUUGAGACAUAAAAUGGAGCCAUGACAGACCUAAAUUGGUUAGAGUCCUUGUGCAUAGCAGCGUGUAAAUCUGAGUCGGGAUCGCAGGGCCUCUUCUUCCACUGAAAUGUACUGUAUUUGGCUUUUGCAAGGCAGGAGCUUUGGUGUGUGUGUGAGAGAAAAGGACAAGCGUUAUCAAUGGAGGCCAGAGGGGAGGCUGGUUGGAGGGAAGGAUGUUCACUGACUGGGAAGGGAUGAAGUUACAGUAUAUGUAGCUCUUUCUCUGUGUACGUUUCUCUGUCUCCUCUCCCUGUCUGCCUGACCAACUGACCCCCACCUCUUUCUCUCUCUACUGUCUCUCUACUGUAUCAUCAGGUCCUGGCACCACCAGUGAAACUCCCACACUCCUCUCCUUCUGGCCUCCGUUACUGGGAUGUUUUAUCUAUAUAUAUACACAUACACACACACACACACUGUGUGUAUGUGCUGGUGGCAGUGUACAUGAGUUAGUAUUCAGUCUGACACUACUACACACCAUCUGCUUGUAAGGAUAUCUGAGGAACAUUCUAACCCUUUCUCUCCCGCUUACAUAACUGCUUCUAUCUUAAUUCUGAGCUAUCGAGUCACUAGCGCGAUUAAGCAUGGGGUA